UCGACGUCUCCACCGGGACCACUCUCCUGUUCCUGCCAAGGCUAUGCCUUUCCAGUCUAGGGAGCCCAGCUGUCCCCCUGCCCCGGAUGCUCGUCCCCAGGGUCCAGCAUGCCUGGCUCCUCCUCCUCGGCCUCUGCUGUCCCCUUCUCCUGCCCCCGCCCCAGCGUCUAGCACCAGGAUUUGUCUUCCUUCUCGGCAGGCAGUGUCCACUGGACAGCUGCUGCCUGUUUGCUGGUGGAGCAAACGCACGUCCAGUAGGUGCCCAGCAAACGCUUACUGAGUGACUGAGACGGGGAAGGGGCUCCCGCGGAGAGGGGCGGCCGCCCGGGCCCAGGCUGGACGCCCACCUGUGUCCCUGCUCCCACCCGGGCCGAGCGGCGCGCUCAGGGGCGGCGGCCCUGUCCCCGAGGACCGCCCUGGCGCAGUCGGCCUCCCGCGGCACCGCGCGCUGCGGGCCGGGGCGCGACGCUGUUCCCCGCGGCGGCGAAGCGACCUCUGUCCGUUCCCCCAACAAGCGUUAGUCCUGCGUCUGCGCCGUGCCGGGCGCCGGGGGAUCCGGCGGGGACAGUGCGCAGUGCCUGGCUGACAAGGAUCGAGCAAAAAACAGCCACCUUAAAAUGCCAUUUAGCCAAAUCCGAUUUAUUUUGCAAGAAAAUAAAAAGGUUUAACCCCCUGGAAUGGACGGGAAGGGGCAGGGGAGACAAGUUACCUUAAAGAAGAGUUCCAGGGAGGCCUUGGCAAAGCUCGUCCUCGUUAGUAUAGUGGUGAGUAUCCCCGCCUGUCACGCGGGAGACCGGGGUUCGAUUCCCCGACGGGGAGGCUACAACAUUUUGAUGAAGGAACGACGUCUUUUUCAUCCUGACCUUGGUCAGGAUUGCAAGAAAGAAGGUAGUCCAGCUGCGCUGUAAAGAUGGUCCUGCAUCCUUGCAGGGAAUAGGCCAGCAAAAGGUCCUCGGUAUGUGAGAUGGACAACUGGACUUCCCGGGCUGACAUUUCUUGUAUUGCUCCAGCCCCAGCAUCUGAUUUUGGAAGAUGCUUAUGAACUUGAGACAUUUUCUCCCCCUAAAGCUGUCAGACUCUGUGACUUUAAAGCAUCACCGGUGUGCAGCUGCUGCACCCCACAGGCAAUAAACAAACUCUUUACAAGA